rnacentral:lncRNA from 1 species
AUUUAUUCUGUUAAAAAUCCAUCACUACAUUGGGUGCUGUAAAUCUGUCAUGGGCCAUGGCCAUCAGGCAACAAAAGAGGAAGAAACCUGUUUGCAUGGGCAAAAAUCUAAAGGUCAAAAAUGUCAGAAGACAAUGAGAAAGGCAACUGAUGGCGUGUGGAAUGACGAUGACAACAAUUAUUUUUUUUUCUUUUUUUAAUUGGAGAAUUACAAAGAGGGUAUUGUUGGGUUUGACUACUUAGUACUCAUCUCCUGUGGCCUUCUCAUCCUCUUUCUUUCUCCAUAUUUUAGUACUUCUACUAUUCAAAUCAUGUUCCAACGCUGCUUUUACCUUUCCUCUCCUCAUUUUGUAUUAAUUUGACUUUCUUUGGGGUUUUCUUGUUUCACCCAAUUUAAGCCUGAAUCACAAGAUUUGAUUUUUCACCAUUUGAGUUCAUGUGUAAUAGUGUAAAUCCAAGCUUUAUUUCAAGUUAGUUCAAGAUUAUCAAUUUUGCAGGGAUCAUUGCCACAGGUUGGUUUUGUAUCAUUUUCUUUGUUUACGUUUUUGUGGGUUGAGUUGAAUUCUGAUUUAAUAUUUGGGUUGAGUUGAAUUCUGUUAUAAUAAUGAAAUUUUGGGAAAUUCAGUUUGACGAAAGAAAAAAUUCAUUCAAUUUAGGGAAAGUACGGUGC